GGGUAACCUGCCUUAUAGUGGGGGAUAGCCUUUCGAAGGAAGAUUAAUACCGCAUAAGAUUGUAGUAUCGCAUGAUAUAGCAAUUAAAGGAGCAAUCCGCUAUAAGAUGGACCCGCGUCGCAUUAGCUAGUUGGUGAGGUAAUGGCUCACCAAGGCGACGAUGCGUAGCCGACCUGAGAGGGUGAUCGGCCACAUUGGGACUGAGACACGGCCCAGACUCCUACGGGAGGCAGCAUG
rnacentral:rRNA from 1 species